ensembl:ncRNA C26D10.8 ncRNA
GAGAACGGGUUCUCUAAAAGACACGCUGAUAAACCCGAGAGAAGAUAUUUGAAUUUGAGAGAUUAACAGCCAGGGGGUGCUGAUUAGCGUUGAAUUCGUCAAUGAUUUAUGAG